UAUUAACAUGGAAUAAUAACCUAAAACCUUGGUUCUAUUUUGUUGGUUUCUAGACUAGGGUAAUGAUCAAUAGGGAUAAUUGGGGGCAUUUGUAUCAACACGUCAGAGGUGAAAUUCUUGGAUUGUGUUACGACGAACCACUGCAAAAGCAUUUGCCAAGGAUGUUUUCAUUGAUCAAGAACGAAAGUGCAGGGAUCGAAAACGAUUAGAUACCGUCGUAGUCUGCACCGUAAACUAUGCCGAUUAAAGAUUGGAGGUCGUUCUUAUUGUGGCUCCUUCUUAAUUUAUGAAAAAUCAAAGUCUUUGGG
rnacentral:rRNA from 1 species